rnacentral:rRNA from 1 species
UCGAGCGGAGAUAAAGGAGUACUUGUACAAAUUUUAUUUCAGCGGCGGACGGGUGAGUAACACGUGAGUAACCUGCCUUCCACUGGGGAAUAACAUCGAGAAAUCGGUGCUAAUACCGCAUAACGUCAUGAGACCGCAUGGUUUUAUGACCAAAGGAGUAAUCCGGUGAAAGAUGGACUCGCGUCCGAUUAGAUAGUUGGUGAGGUAAUGGCCCACCAAGUCUGCGAUCGGUAGCCGAACUGAGAGGUUGAUCGGCCACAUUGGGACUGAGACACGGCCCAGACUCCUACGGGAGGCAGCAGUGGGGAAUAUUGGGCAAUGGGCGAAAGCCUGACCCAGCAACGCCGCGUGAAGGAAGAAGGUCUUCGGAUUGUAAACUUCUUUGAUCAGGGACGAAAAAAAUGACGGUACCUGAAGAACAAGCCACGGCUAACUACGUGCCAGCAGCCGCGGUAAUAC